GAUGAACGCUGGCGGCGUGCCUAAUACAUGCAAGUCGAGCGAACAGACGAGGAGCUUGCUCCUCUGACGUUAGCGGCGGACGGGUGAGUAACACGUGGAUAACCUACCUAUAAGACUGGGAUAACUUCGGGAAACCGGAGCUAAUACCGGAUAAUAUAUUGAACCGUAUGGUUCAAUAGUGAAAGACGGUUUUGCUGUCACUUAUAGAUGGAUCCGCGCCGCAUUAGCUAGUUGGUAAGGUAACGGCUUACCAAGGCGACGAUGCGUAGCCGACCUGAGAGGGUGAUCGGCGACACUGGAACUGGGACACGGUCCAGACGACUACGGGAGGCAGCAGUAGGGAAUGUUCCGCAAUGGGCGAAAGCCUGACGGAGCAACGCCGCGUGAGUGAUGAAGGUCUUCGGAUCGUAAAACUCUGUUAUGGGGGAAGAACAAAUGUGUAAGUAACUAUGCACGUCUUGACGGUACCUAAUCAGAAAGCCACGGCUAACUACGUG
rnacentral:rRNA from 1 species